GGAUAUGAGGGCAAUCUAGCUGUGACAUGCCCCCCCCACUGAUCACCAGCGUUGAUUUGACUGACCUGCUGGCUAGGCAGAUCCUCCCUCAUAGCUCCAUGUGCAUCUCUCUGGAAGCUGUGUGCUUGGUCAAAGCGGACAGCUUUCCAAGAUAAGAGUACCAUUCUUCUGUCAAGAGAACAUGAGUAGCUUUGCUCCCCUGCCAGAACCUCCAAACAAGUUCUCAAGUCAAUGGCUACCAUCUAAGUCCUCUGUAAUCCUAUUCAGUUCUUCCUUCGUAGCACU
rnacentral:snRNA from 1 species